rnacentral:rRNA from 1 species
CUGGUUGAUCCUGCCAGUAGUCAUAUGCUUGUCUUAAAGAUUAAUCCAUGCAUGUGUAAGUAUAAGUAUUGUACAGCGAAACUGCGAAUGGCUCAUUACAUCAGUUAUAAUUUAUUUGAUAAUCGAAAGUUACAUGGAUAACCGUGACAAAUUACAGCUAAUACAUGCAGUCAGACCUGGUCCAAGGGUCGUAAUUAUUAGUAUUAAACCAUUUCCGUAAGGAGUGUGAUGAAUCAUAAUAAUCGAACGAAUCGCCUGGUGUGCGAUAAAUCAUUCAAGUUUCUGCCCUAUCAGCUUUGGAUGGUAGUGUAUUGGACUACCAUGGCAGUCACGGGUAACGGAGAAUUAGGGUUCGAUUCCGGAGAGGGAGCCUGAGAAACGGCUACCACAUCUACGGAAGGCAGCAGGAGCGAAAAUUGCCCAAUCCCGACACGGGGAGGCAGUGACGAGAAAUAACAACUCUUGGUUAUUCUAAGAAGUGUAAUGAGGAUAAUUUAAAACCCUUACCGAAAGCAAUUGGAGGGCAAGUCUGGUGCCAGCAGCCGCGGUAAUUCCAGCUCCAAUAGCGUAUAUUAAAGUUGUUGCAGUUAAAAAGCUCGUAGUUGAAGUUCUGGCUGUUCGAUCCUCGAGCUCUGUAGCCGAGGACUCGACAGUCAUCCGCUUGCAAAUAUAGUUCGUCUUUAACCGGAUGGCUAUAUGAGUAAGCAAUUUACCUUGAGAAAAACAGAGUGUUCCAGGCAGGUUUGUCCGGAAUGCAUUAGCAUGGAAUAAUAGAAUAUGACUGAAGUCGAUUUAUUGGUUUGAGGCUUUAGUAAUGAUUAAUAGGAACAGUCGGGGGCAUUGGUACUUGACAGUCAGAGGUGAAAUUCUAGGAUUUGUCAAAGACUAACAAAUGCGAAAGCAUUUGCCAAGGAUGUUUUCAUUAAUCAAGAACGAAAGUUAGGGGAUCAAAGACGAUCAGAUACCGUCCUAGUCUUAACUAUAAACUAUACCGACUCGGAUUCAGAUGAAUCAUAAAGUUCAUUUGGGACCGUAGGAGAAAUCAAAGUUUUUGGGUUCUGGGGGAAGUAUGGUCGCAAGGCUGAAACUUAAAGGAAUUGACGGUUUUGCACCACCAUGGAGUGGAGUCUGCGGCUUAAUUUGACAACACUGGGAAACUCAUCAGGGCAAGAAGAUUGUAGGAUUGACAGAUUGAGAGUUCUUUCUUGAUUGGUCUAGUGGUGGUGCAUGGCCGUUCUUAGUUGGUGGAGUGAUUUGUCUGGUUAAUUCCGUUAACGAACGAGACCUUAACCUGCUAACUAGUACACAGAUGACAAAUCUGUGAUACUUCUUAGAGGGACUAUGUGAUGUAAUCACAUGGAAGUUUGAGGCAAUAACAGGUCUGUGAUGCCCUUAGAUGUCCUGAGCUGCACGCGUACUACAAUGGUGCUUUCAACGAGCUUUUCCUGAUCCGAAAGGAUUUGGGUAAUCUUUUUAGUGAGCACCGUGCUUGGGAUAGAUCUUUGUAAUUAUGGAUCUUGAACUAGGAAUUCCUAGUAAGCACGUGUCAUCAGCACGUGCUGAUUAC